rnacentral:rRNA from 1 species
CCUACGGGUGGCAGCAGUGGGGAAUUUUGGACAAUGGGCGCAAGCCUGAUCCAGCUAUUCCGCGUGUGGGAUGACGGCCUUCGGGUUGUAAACCACUUUUGUAGAGAACGAAAAGUCUGUUGAUAAUACCGAUAGAUGAUGACGGUACUCUAAGAAUAAGCACCGGCUAACUACGUGCCAGCAGCCGCGGUAAUACGUAGGGUGCGAGCGUUAAUCGGAAUUACUGGGCGUAAAGGGUGUGCAGGCGGUUUUGCAAGAUGGAUGUGAAAGCCCCGGGCUUAACCUGGGAAAGCCAUCCAUGACUGCAAGACUAGCGUGCGUCAGAGGGGGGUGGAAUUCCAAGUGUAGCAGUGAAAUGCGUAGAUAUUUGGAAGAAAACAGAUGGCGAAGGCAGCCCCCUGGGACGCAACUGACGCUCAUACACGAAAGCGUGGGGAGCAAACAGGAUUAGAUACCCCAGUAGUC